rnacentral:rRNA from 1 species
UACACAUGCAAGUCGUGCGAGAAGGGACUUCGGUCCUGAGUAGAGCGGCGCACGGGUGAGUAACGCGUGGGUGAUCUCCCUUGGUGAUCGGGAUAACAGCGGGAAACUGCUGCUAAUACCGGAUAAUCUUCAUGUUUAACUUCAUGGGGUAAAGGUGGCCUCUGCUUGCAAGCUACCACACCGAGAUGAGCCCGCGUCUCAUUAGCUAGUUGGUAGGGUAAUGGCCUACCAAGGCUACGAUGAGUAGCUGGUCUGAGAGGAUGACCAGCCACACUGGGACUGGAACACGGCCCAGACUCCUACGGGAGGCAGCAGUGGGGAAUAUUGCGCAAUGGGCGAAAGCCUGACGCAGCGACGCCUCGUGAGGGAUGAAGGUCUUCGGAUCGUAAACCUCUGUCAAGAGGGAAGAAACCAUUGGAGUCGAAUAGGCUUCUUUGCUGACGGUACCUCAAAAGGAAGCACCGGCUAACUCCGUGCCAACAGCCGCGGUAAUACGGAGGGUGCAAGCGUUAAUCGGAAUCACUGGGCGUAAAGCGCUCGUAGGCCGCUUGGUCAGCCAGAUGUGAAAGCCCUCGGCUUAACCGGGGAACUGCAUUUGAUACUGCUAGGCUUGAGUGUUCCAUAUGGUGGU